rnacentral:rRNA from 1 species
GUGGGGAAUAUUGGACAAUGGGCGAAAGCCUGAUCCAGCCAUGCCGCGUGAGUGAUGAAGGCCUUAGGGUUGUAAAGCUCUUUCAGUGGGGACGAUAAUGACGGUACCCACAGAAGAAGCCCCGGCUAACUUCGUGCCAGCAGCCGCGGUAAUACGAAGGGGGCUAGCGUUGUUCGGAUUUACUGGGCGUAAAGCGCACGUAGGCGGAUCGUUAAGUCAGGGGUGAAAUCCUGGAGCUCAACUCCAGAACUGCCUUUGAUACUGGCGAUCUAGAGUCCGGAAGAGGUGAGUGGAACUCCGAGUGUAGAGGUGGAAUUCGUAGAUAUUAGGAAGAACACCAGUGGCGAAGGCGGCUCACUGGUCCGGUACUGACGCUGAGGUGCGAAAGCGUGGGGAGCAAACAGGAUUAGAUACCCCGGUAGUCC